rnacentral:rRNA from 1 species
AUGCAUGUCUAAGUAUAAGCAAUUAUACAGCGAAACUGCGAAUGGCUCAUUAUAUAAGUUAUCGUUUAUUUGAUAGUACCUUACUACUUGGAUAACCGUGGUAAUUCUAGAGCUAAUACAUGCUAAAAAUCCCGACUUCGGAAGGGAUGUAUUUAUUAGAUUAAAAACCAAUGCCCUCUGGGCUCUUUGGUGAUUCAUGAUAACUUCUCGAAUCGCACGGCCUUGCGCCGGCGAUGGUUCAUUCAAAUUUCUUCCCUAUCAACUUUCGAUGUUUGGGUAUUGGCCAAACAUGGUUGCAACGGGUAACGGAGGGUUAGGGCUCGACCCCGGAGAAGGAGCCUGAGAAACGGCUACUACAUCCAAGGAAGGCAGCAGGCGCGCAAAUUACCCAAUCCCGACACGGGGAGGUAGUGACAAUAAAUACUGAUACAGGGCUCUUUUGGGUCUUGUAAUUGGAAUGAGUACAAUUUAAAUCCCUUAACGAGGAACAAUUGGAGGGCAAGUCUGGUGCCAGCAGCCGCGGUAAUUCCAGCUCCAAUAGCGUAUAUUAAAGUUGUUGUGGUUAAAAAGCUCGUAAUUGAACCUUGGGCCUGGCUGGCCGGUCCGCCUCACCGCGUGUACUGGUCCGGCCGGGCCUUUCCCUCUGUGGAACCUCAUGCCCUUCACUGGGUGUGACGGGGAAACAGGACUUUUACUUUGAAAAAAUUAGAGUGCUCCAGGCAGGCCUAUGCUCGAAUACAUUAGCAUGGAAUAAUAAAAUAGGACGUGUGGUUCUAUUUUGUUGGUUUCUAGGACCGCCGUAAUGAUUAAUAGGGACAGUCGGGGGCAUCAGUAUUCAAUUGUCAGAGGUGAAAUUCUUGGAUUUAUUGAAGACUAACUACUGCGAAAGCAUUUGCCAAGGAUGUUUUCAUUAAUCAGGAACGAAAGUUAGGGGAUCGAAGACGAUCAGAUACCGUCGUAGUCUUAACCAUAAACUAUG